AUUGAACGCUGGCGGCGUGCUUAACACAUGCAAGUCGUGCGGUAACAGGCGUAGCAAUACGUGCUGACGAGCGGCGAACGGGUGCGUAAUACAUGGGAAUCUGCCCUUUAGUGGGGAAUAACCCGGCGAAAGCCGGGCUAAUGCCGCAUAAGAUCUUCGGAUGAAAGCGGGGGAUCGUAAGACCUCGCGCUGAUGGAUGAGCCCAUGUCGGAUUAGCUAGNGGUGAGGUAACGGCUCACCAAGGCGACGAUCCGUAGCUGGUCUGAGAGGACGGCCAGCCACACUGGGACUGAGACACGGCCCAGACUCCUACGGGAGGCAGCAGUGGGGAAUAUUGGACAAUGGGCGAAAGCCUGAUCCAGCGACGCCGCGUGUGUGAAGAAGGCCUGCGGGUUGU
rnacentral:rRNA from 1 species